rnacentral:sRNA from 2 species
GUGAACGCGUGGUACAUGCCGAUUCCGAGCACCGGCCGCGCCUGCCUGGCGGCUGCUCGCUCCGUUGUGGUAGCC